rnacentral:rRNA from 1 species
AGUGAACGCUGGCGGUAGGCCUAACACAUGCAAGUCGAACGGCAGCACAGUAGAGCUUGCUCUUACGGGUGGCGAGUGGCGGACGGGUGAGGAAUACAUCGGAAUCUACUUUUUCGUGGGGGAUAACGUAGGGAAACUUACGCUAAUACCGCAUACGACCUACGGGUGAAAGCAGGGGAUCUUCGGACCUUGCGCGAUUGAAUGAGCCGAUGUCGGAUUAGCUAGUUGGCGGGGUAAAGGCCCACCAAGGCGACGAUCCGUAGCUGGUCUGAGAGGAUGAUCAGCCACACUGGAACUGAGACACGGUCCAGAGUCCUACGGUGUCACGCAGUGGGUGAGAUUGGACAAUGGGCGCAAGCCUGAUCCAGCCAUACCGCGUGGGUGAAGAAGGGCUUCGGGUUGUAAAGCCCUUUUGUUGGGAAAGAAAAGCAGCAGGUUAAUACCCCGCUGUUCUGACGGUACCCAAAGAAUAAGCACCGGCUAACUUCGUG